UACGUAGGGCGCAAGCGUUGUCCGGAAUUAUUGGGCGUAAAGAGCUCGUAGGCGGCCAGUUGCGUCCGCUGUGAAAUCCCGGGGGCUUAACCCCGGGCGUGCAGUGGAUACGGGCUGGCUAGAGGCAGGCAGGGGAGAACGGAAUUCCCGGUGUAGCGGUGAAAUGCGCAGAUAUCGGGAGGAACACCCAUGGCGAAGGCAGCAAACUGGUCCGUAUCUGACGCUGAGGCGCGAAAGCGUGGGUAGCAAACAGG
rnacentral:rRNA from 1 species